UUUUAUUGUUCCUCUGGGACAGAGGGCAAGCCACAGGUUUUCCUGGUUACCAGCUGAAGGAUAUGCUGAUUUGGGGGAAAGCUUUUGUCUUUGUGUUUUUGGAAAAGGUAAUUAAGGUAUUUAUACUUUCCAGAGUUAUAUGGAUCAAAUUUAAUAGAGGGAGACUCCCUGAGAACCAGAUUCCAGAGAAUCAAACGAAAAGGUUAUCUUGAUGAAACUAAAAUUUUGUUUUGAGAUUUACAUAAUUCAGAAUAUACAGCCUUGGUAAAUUUCAUCAUCAGACAUGCUGAACGGACCUACCUGAACUCCCGAUGUCUUGGUUUUUCAUAAGGAUCUAGUCAGGACACAGACAUCAGAGGACACAGACGAAUACAAUCAUUGGUGUGGCCUUCUUAAGGUCAAUCAACUCCCCCGUUUCCCUACUCUUCCCCCUCCCUUCAAAAAUAUCUCAACACCCAUAUUCAGCUUGAAGAAGUUAUGAAGAGUCAUCAUCCCAGUUCCCUAAGCUUUGGGGCUGGGGGUGGGUAUUAUAGGUUGUCUUUGAUACUAAAAAUUUUGAAGUACAGGGCUUGGACCCAGUCCUUUUAUUGCUGUUAUUAUAAACAGAUCUGAGAUGUUUAAGCCUGUGAGUUAAGGGCCAAAUAGGAAAUUUAUAGCUCUGAGUUUAUUGUUAGGGUGUUUUCAGUUAUUUUAAUUAGAAAUGGCUGGGAGUAGUUAACAGAGAACAGUCUAGAUUACCUCACAUAGAUAAUUGAUUUUCAAAAAUGUCAGAAGUCCACAGAAUGUGACGUUUAAUAAUUACUUAUUCACUUGUUGUUGAGACUAGUCUGCUCCUGGCAGCUUUCCCUGUCUUGGAUUCAAAGAAGAAAAUGAGCAUCUGUGAGUUACUCCAGUUGUAGUGAAACAGCCACUAGGCAAGAAUUGCCUCAUUUCAUCUACAGACAUAAUACUGUCCAAAGAAAGGACACAAUUACAGGUCAAGACAGCUUGAUUCUGCUGAGACAUAGUAGGCUAGUCUCUAAUAUUCCUGUUUCUCUAAGUCUGUCAGAUGACCCUGGCCAGUAGGCUGAAGACCGAUGCUCCAAUGUGUUGAAGUAAGGGACUGUCCAGGUGAUCAGCGGUCUCUAUAAAUUGGUUAAGUUUUGGAAGCUGUGUUAGGCUUCCUAUAUAUUUUCAGUUAUAUCCAUCGUUCUUGGAUUUCUGAUGGGGUUGAAGAUGUGGAUGAUGGUAGUGUAGUGGUAGAUUGGCCCAAUUGAGGCACACAGCAUGUAUACAUAUUAACUGAGUCGUGUUUUCAUUGCCAGGGCACAUUUGGGUUGGAGAUUUACCGCGACAGAUCUUUAUCCCAGAUGUCUUCAGUGACAGCCAUCACUGACCUCCAUGUUGGCUGCUUAUGAUUAGGGUCAUAAAUCAGCACAGUGCAAUCUGACCAACCGGCAGUUCCAGAUGUCUAAUGCAGAGUGACUUUAGUUGGUUGACAUCAAGGGUCCCUCUCUGAAGCUGGAGCUCACCAAUUUGAGUAGAAUGACUGGUCAUCAAGACCCAGAGACCUUCUGUCUUUCCCUUCCCAGCUCAGGAAUCAUAAGAGCUGAUGCAGUCCAGCACUUCAGUUGCCAAUGCUCAUCACAGAUGCUGCCUUUGUGCUUAAUACAGACACCAGCAAGGAGGAGCGCAGGCAUCACCUACCUGCAAGAGUCACUGCAGCCCCGCUGAGCACAGCUGGACUUGGAGGCUCAGUACACAGCAGCCAGUGCUUGUCUCAUUAUGUUCUCCAUCUUCCAUACGAUUCCUGCACCUAGGGGUGAAGAUAAAUUUUAAAAGAGCAAUUUAUUAUUAGCCUUUGAAACCAAACCCCGGCU
rnacentral:lncRNA from 1 species